GGUUUUACAAAAAUACGAAGUAUCUUGUUUACAUUGGUAAGUACAUGAACAAAUAUGCAUAUUAUAUACUUGGUUUAACUUACACAUAGUGAUACAUAAAACAUAAUAAAUAUUAAUCUACUAAAUUAUGGUGUGGUAGUUCGUAUAAAACUGAAAUAUUUCCACGAUAUUUAUAUUUUUAAUGGUUUUAUGCUUUCUCAUACAGCCUUCUUCAUCUGUGAAGAAAUUAGUUUUGUCACAAUAGUUGCUGUUUAUUCUUAAUGUUAAAUAGAACAAGUGUGCCCCACCCCGGAGGGCUCCUGCAGAGAGCCUUCUUCUCCACUCCUACCCUCCCACAAAUAGGCCACCACAAAGAAGUGGAGGUGGGGGUUUUCGGUGUACGAGACUCGAGUUAUAUUUUUGUAGUCUCACUCCGGCAGUUCUCAAAUCUAGUGACCCACCUCGGAGCUCUUCAUCAGUUUAGUGUUGUGUGUUUAUUCAGACAUAAUAUGUUGUACUAUAGCAACAAAAGGAAUUCACAGUAACUAAGAGAAGAAAUUAUCACAAAAAAACUUGGCUGUUAAAAGUGUAUUUUAGUGAGUCAGCGAUGUAUUGUAAGGCUUGGCUUCAAGCCUUUGGCAUUAAGCGUUAAUUUAUUGUUCUCAGUUUUCAAAUAUUUCUAGAACUUGGAAAGACCUACAUGACCAUGUAUAGUGCAAUUUUUUUUCUCAAGGCUCGAGGACAAAUGAAAGUGAGGCCAUGACAUCAGGGCCAUAUAAAGGCCUCCAACCACAAGUUUCCUUUUAAAGAAGCCUAUUGAGUCACCAAGACCUUGAAGCAUUCAGUUUUUGUUUAAGAUGUAAUAAGUUAAACAAAAUAAUAAUAAAACAGUUUAUAACUGA